UACGGAGGGUGCAAGCGUUAAUCGGAAUUACUGGGCGUAAAGCGCACGCAGGUGGCUGAGUCAGUCGAUUGUGAAAGCCCUGGGCUUAACCUGGGAAUUGCAGUCGAUACUACUCAGCUAGAGUAUGGGAGAGGGCAGUGGAAUUCCCGGUGUAGUGGUGAAAUGCGUAGAUAUCGGGAGGAACAUCAGUGGCGAAGGCGGCUGCCUGGCCCAAUACUGACACUCAGGUGCGACAGCGUGGGGAGCAAACAGG
rnacentral:rRNA from 1 species